ACUCCUUGCAAAUGAUGAUGGAUUGCCAGCUCCCUAGCUUUCAUUAAUUUUUUUUAAAAAGUAAGUUUCAAGCAUUUGUAGAAUCUCAGAUACGAGGCAAAAUGUACAGAUACUAAACUCUUCUUUCUUUUCAUUGUUUUACUUUGUCCUUCUUUCAAAACAUUCCUGCCAACAUUCAUGAUUUCAACUGAGAAGACCCAGUCAAUACCCACCUCACCCCAGAAAGAUGGGACAUCUAGAAAAGGACACCCAAAGAUUACCUUAGUAUCGAGGUGGCUAGCCUGUGGCUCUCUGUGUGUUGCUGAACUCCCAUCAUCCUUGAGCAUUGGCAACAUCACAGCUUAACCAACCCUGCCUUAGCUUUUGUGCUAGUGUUUCUGGAAGUAGGAAAUUAUUGUGGAACCCAUGUCCCAGAGCAUGUAGGACUGGAAAGGAACUGCAGUAACCAGAGACAUGUAAACAAGAUUUACUUAUGGACUCUCAUAAUUCCGUAAGCACAAACCUUUAAAAAAGAGUUCUAAGAAAUUGUUAAUUAAGUCACACCAUCAAGCUCAUAUAUCACUAAUAAUUAUGAAGCCCUUUUAAAGUUUCUUUUGAAUUGAGCACCUUACCAAGAUGCACUAUAACAAAAACAUGGUCACAAUGAGGAAGGGGAAAUGUGGGUACUAAAAUUUCAGAGAAGAAGUGAUUCAAAUGUUUUAAACAUUCUUUCUCUAAAGAUGAAAGCUUCUUUUAUAGUGCAAAUAUUUCUUAAUUAAAACACCACAUUUAAUAAUCAUGUUAGAUGAGUUUGCUUGCAUUGAGACUAGCCUAAGGAUAGUUGCACUGUGUAUUCUUCACUUAUAGUGCCAGAAAUUUAUGAGGACGGCUGAAAAGUUCACAGCUGAAAUUCAAAAUCAAAACCAACUCCAUUCUUCAGAUUCGGAAUAUUUUAGUCACUCAUUGUACAAUACACUGUCAAUAACCUAUUUGUAUAAGGAAUAGGGAAGCUUUUGGCAAAGCUCAGGACUCCAUAAAAAAUUAGGGUUUAGAAAACAAGACAAACAAACAAAAUUUGACAUUUUCUAAUGAAUCUGUUACACUUUGGAAACAAGAGCAGGAAAUCCAGAUCCCCAACAUUCAUGGAUAAAUUCAAAUGAUGAUAAUUUUGAAAUCAUUUCUAAUUUUACUUCUUGCUCAUUCAAAUUCAAAAUAAGUCACAGUUCACAUUCAAGAGUUCUAUCUUUUGCAUAGCAGAAAAAAAGACAAAAUUGCAGAAAGGCAAUUUGUUAGUUUGCAAUCAUGAUUAUUCUUGAUACAGAAAUUGCAUUUAGUAUGAUGGCAUUUGCAAUCCAAUUGGACUGGAGCCAAAGGUGCCUUUCUAUUUGUUGAAGUAGUCUUCAUGUUUGUGGGUAGGCCUUUAAUUCAGAGUAGGCUGAAUUAAAAAUGCACACUGGCUUGUAAAGAGAUUAGCCCUAUUUUAGCUCUCAAAAAGGAGGUGGGUGUACUUUUGGGGACUAUCAACAGUGAUUUCAGAAAAGAGUUCUGCAUCACUUCUAAUGGGAGGACAUUACUAUAUCUCCAAUUCUCUGCACCGUACAAUAAUUGUGGCACAGUCUUCUUUUGAAAUACCUCAACUGUGGGGGCAACUAAACUGCCCCCCCAAAGUCUGGAAAACUGUAACAAAGAGCUAACAGAGUGAGAGGAUUUCAA